AUGAAAGAUGGUGAAGGUGUCGCUAAAAUGUACUCUAGGCUUGCUCUCAUCACAAAUGAGAUUGCUGGCUUGGGAAGUGAAGAGAUGACCGACAAACUCAUCAUCAAGAAGAUCCUAAGAGACUUGGAUGGAAAAUAUGAUACCGUGUGCAUGUUGAUCCAAAUGAUGCCCAAUUAUAAAGAUCUCAAGCCAACGGAAGUCAUUGGUAGAAUUGUUGCUCAUGAGAUGUCACUCAAGGAUAAAGAAGAGCUUCACAACAAGUCUAGUGGUGCUUACAAAGCUUCAUGUGAUGCUUCUUCAAGUGAGAAACAAGUCUUCGAUCAAGAAUUGAGCCUAAUGGUGAAGAACUUCAACAAGUUCUACACGAGUAGAAGCAAAGAGAGAAGUCACAAGUCAAGGUCCUACAAUGACAAAAGAUCUUUUAGUCGUGAUCGCAAUUGCUACAAUUGUGAAAGACCCGGACACUACUCCGGUGAGUGUACGGCUCCCUACAGAAGAAAAGAGGACUCACCUAAAAGGAGAAACAAAAGAGAAGAGUCACCACCAAGAGAAAGGAGUAGAGAUGAUCAUUAUAAACGAAGAUCCUCUCAUUGA
rnacentral:rRNA from 1 species